rnacentral:rRNA from 1 species
UACAGGGGGAGCAAGCGUUAUCCGGAAUGAUUGGGCGUAAAGCAUUCGUAGGUGGUAAGUGAAGUCUACUGUCAAAUACCAGGGCUCAACCUUGGACAGGCAGUGGAGUACUCAUUUACUAGAGCGUGGUAGAGGUAGAGGGAAUUCCCCCGUGGAGCGGUGAAAUGCGUAGAGAUGGGGGAAGAACACCGGUGGCGAAAGCGCUCUACUGGGCCAAGGCUGACACUGAGGGAUGAAAGCUGGGGGGAGCAAAUAGG